CAGCAGCCGCGGUAAUACGAAGGGUGCAAGCGUUAAUCGGAAUUACUGGGCGUAAAGCGUGCGUAGGCGGUUUGUUAAGUCUGUUGUGAAAUCCCCGGGCUCAACCUGGGAAUGGCAAUGGAUACUGGCAAGCUAGAGUGUGUCAGAGGAUGGUGGAAUUCCCGGUGUAGCGGUGAAAUGCGUAGAGAUCGGGAGGAACAUCAGUGGCGAAGGCGGCCAUCUGGGGCAACACUGACGCUGAGGCACGAAAGCGCGGGGAGCAAACAGGAUUAGAUACCCCCGUAGUCCCUGUCUCUUAUAC
rnacentral:rRNA from 1 species